CAAGGAGUCUAGCAUGCGCGCGAGUCAUUGGGAUAAACCCAAAGGCGCAAUGAAAGUGAACAGCGUCGACGUCGGCCGCAGGGAAGAUGUCGGUCGGCCGUCCGUUCGCAUUCCCGAGGCGUUUCGAGAAAUGCCCCCGUGCGAUUAUCGAAACGCACUGAGAGCGCGCACGCUGGGACCCGAAAGAUGGUGAACUAUGCCUGG
rnacentral:rRNA from 1 species